UUGAUGAACGCUAGCUACAGGCUUAACACAUGCAAGUCGAGGGGCAGCAUGGUCUUAGCUUGCUAAGGCCGAUGGCGACCGGCGCACGGGUGAGUAACACGUAUCCAACCUGCCGUCUACUCUUGGACAGCCUUCUGAAAGGAAGAUUAAUACAAGAUGGCAUCAUGAGUCCACAUGUUCACAUGAUUAAAGGUAUUCCGGUAGACGAUGGGGAUGCGUUCCAUUAGAUAGUAGGCGGGGUAACGGCCCACCUAGUCUUCGAUGGAUAGGGGUUCUGAGAGGAAGGUCCCCCACAUUGGAACUGAGACACGGUCCAAACUCCUACGGGAGGCAGCAGUGAGGAAUAUUGGUCAAUGGGCGAGAGCCUGAACCAGCCAAGUAGCGUGAAGGAUGACUGCCCUAUGGGUUGUAAACUUCUUUUAUAAAGGAAUAAAGUCGGGUAUGCAUACCCGUUUGCAUGUACUUUAUGAAUAAGGAUCGGCUAACUCCGUGCCAGCAGCCGCGGUAAUACGGAGGAUCCGAGCGUUAUCCGGAUUUAUUGGGUUUAAAGGGAGCGUAGAUGGAUGUUUAAGUCAGUUGUGAAAGUUUGCGGCCCAACCGUAAAAUUGCAGUUGAUACUGGAUAUCUUGAGUGCAGUUGAGGCAGGCGGAAUUCGUGGUGUAGCGGUGAAAUGCUUAGAUAUCACGAAGAACUCCGAUUGCGAAGGCAGCCUGCUAAGCUGCAACUGACAUUGAGGCUCGAAAGUGUGGGUAUCAAACAGGAUUAGAUACCCUGGUAGUCCACACGGUAAACGAUGAAUACUCGCUGUUUGCGAUAUACGGCAAGCGGCCAAGCGAAAGCGUUAAGUAUUCCACCUGGGGAGUACGCCGGCAACGGUGAAACUCAAAGGAAUUGACGGGGGCCCGCACAAGCGGAGGAACAUGUGGUUUAAUUCGAUGAUACGCGAGGAACCUUACCCGGGCUUAAAUUGCAGAUGAAUUACGGUGAAAGCCGUAAGCCGCAAGGCAUCUGUGAAGGUGCUGCAUGGUUGUCGUCAGCCCAUGCCGUGAGGUGUCGGCUUAAGUGCCAUAACGAGCGCAACCCUUGUUGUCAGUUACUAACAGGUUCCGCUGAGGACUCUGACAAGACUGCCAUCGUAAGAUGUGAGGAAGGUGGGGAUGACGUCAAAUCAGCACGGCCCUUACGUCCGGGGCUACACACGUGUUACAAUGGGGGGUACAGAGGGCCGCUACCACGCGAGUGGAUGCCAAUCCCCAAAACCUCUCUCAGUUCGGACUGGAGUCUGCAACCCGACUCCACGAAGCUGGAUUCGCUAGUAAUCGCGCAUCAGCCACGGCGCGGUGAAUACGUUCCCGGGCCUUGUACACACCGCCCGUCAAGCCAUGGGAGCCGGGGGUACCUGAAGUGCGUAACCGCGAGGAGCGCCCUAGGGUAAAACUGGUG
rnacentral:rRNA from 1 species